rnacentral:rRNA from 1 species
AGAGUUUGAUCAUGGCUCAGAAUGAACGCUGGCGGCGUGCUUAACACAUGCAAGUCGUACGAGAACGCUUCAGCUUGCUGAAGCUAGUAAAGUGGCGUACGGGUGAGUAACGCGUGGGUAAUCUACCUCCGAAUUGGGGAUAACGUUGCGAAAGCGACGCUAAUACCGGAUAAUAUCUUAAGGACUUUGGUUCUUUUGAUCAAAGGUGGCCUCUCCAUGGAAGCUACUGUUUGGAGAUGAGCCCGCGUCCCAUUAGCUUGUUGGUGGGGUAAUGGCCCACCAAGGCUACGAUGGGUAGCUGGUCUGAGAGGAUGAUCAGCCACACUGGAACUGACACACGGUCCAGACUCCUACGGGAGGCAGCAGUGAGGAAUUUUGCGCAAUGGGGGAAACCCUGACGCAGCAACGCCGCGUGAGUGAUGAAGGCUUUCGGGUCGUAAAGCUCUGUCAAGUGGGAAGAACUUCCGUGAGGUUAAUAUCCUCAUGGUUUGACGGUACCACUGAAGGAAGCACCGGCUAACUCCGUGCCAGCAGCCGCGGUAAUACGGGGGGUGCAAGCGUUAUUCGGAUUUACUGGGCGUAAAGCGCGCGUAGGCGGCCGUUUAAGUCAGAUGUGAAAGCCCGGGGCUCAACCCUGGAAGUGCAUUUGAUACUAUUCGGCUUGAGUAUGGGAGAGGGAAGUGGAAUUCCUGGUGUAGAGGUGAAAUUCGUAGAUAUCAGGAGGAACACCGGUGGCGAAGGCGACUUCCUGGACCAAUACUGACGCUGAGGCGCGAAGGCGUGGGGAGCAAACAGGAUUAGAUACCCUCGUAGUCC